CGUAGGGUCCAAGCGUUAUCCGGAAUCACUGGGCGUAAAGCGUGCGUAGGUGGCGUGUUAAGUGUGAUGUUAAAUCGUGUGGCUCAACCAUAUCGAUGUGUCGCAUACUGGCAUGCUAGAGGACGGCAGAGGCAAGUGGAAUUGGUAGUGUAGCAGUGAAAUGCGUAGAUAUUACCAGGAACACCAAUGGCGAAGGCAGCUUGCUGGGCCACUCCUGACACUGAGGUACGAAAGCGUGGGGAGCGAACAGGAUUAGAUACCCUGGUAGUCCACGCCGUAAACGAUGCAUACUAGUCUUAUGGGGUAUCGACCCCCUGUGAGACGCAGCUAACGCGAUAAGUAUGCCGCCUGGGAAGUACGGCCGCAAGGCUA
rnacentral:rRNA from 1 species